rnacentral:misc_RNA from 1 species
UGCUCGGGACGGAAAGUUCACGCGUCAAGAAGAGCAAGGCGGCCGGAAGCAGCGUCCUUGUCUCUGCCCAACUGCACACGCUCGCCUCGCCCCCGAUCGUUGAGGACGGUGCUGUCUGAGUUGAAUUGUCUCUUGCCGCGCUGCUUCCCACCAGGUCACCCGCCGCCUCUCCUGAUCUUCAAGUUGUACCCCGUAGAGAACUCAAAGGAAGUGAGCACGGUGAGGUGCUCGUAACUCACCGCACACAGGCGCGGCCACGCACACGCAGGGCUUCACGAGCCGCCAUAGACCCCCUUCCUUGUUGUUGCUGCUCUGGUCGUAUCGCGCUGCGUGCACAGUGCCCUCCACGCGAUCGAGCAAAAGGCGGGGCGGAUCCCAAGCGAGUGGCUUCAAACGACCACGGCAAAGCGUUCAAGCAAAAACAGGAACAGCUCGGCGCCGCCCGUAGUCGAUAGACAGUGCACAAAAUCGAGGCACGGCAUAUACACUCACGCACAUUUACACGGGGCAAGCAGGUGCGGCUGCUCUCCCUAGCAAGCAGUUCUCCGGUUGAAUAUCCCAAGGAAGGGCGCGCAUUUUUCUUUCGCUCGUUUGUCUUGUAGUGCGAUGUUCUCCCUCAACAUCAAAACAGCAGCCUCGCCGUCCUCUGCAGCUCCCGCACCGGCACCGGAAGUGAACGCCGGCGAGGCGCCAUGGGCGACCAUUGACGUGGACGAAGCCGACUCCUUUGAAAGCACACCCUCGACGAACAGCAGCGGUGGUCAGGGCGGCCGCCAUCGUUAUCAGCAUGCCGCGCAGUCGUCGCACUCUCCGCAGAGUCCCGAGACGCCCAUCAAAUUUGACCACGGUGCAUACCCGCACUGCCCCAUCUUCAUCCCCUCCAAAGGUCGCUCAGACCUGGACCGCAGCACCAUGGCGGUGCUCGUCCGCGAUCUCGUCCCGUUUGUGCUUGUCGUCGAGCGUGAGGAGGCCGAUGCGUACAGAGCUAUGCUGGACCGCCUCGUUGGACAAUACUUCGGCUUCGCCGGUAUGACUUUUGCCGCGAACGUGGACGAUGGCAUUGAAGGGGCAAUCAAGACGGGGGCAGAGGUCGUCGUGUCGUCCAGCACUACUCCGGCAGACCUCUGGGCGUUCCCGUGCGCCUGCUGCUGCGGCAGCACUGACGUCGCUGGUUCGCCGUCGUCGCCCACCACACCCGGCCUAUCGGAGGAUGCCUUGCGCGCGUUGGCGCUGCGGCUUUCAGCUGCGUUUCAUCAUGGCUAUGUUUUCCAGCCGUCAGUGUCUGCUGCAGCCGGCGACCACCACGGCGCUGUUGAGUCGAAUGUCUCACCGCCUGUGUCGAUCAGUCCAACAGCGCCAUCAGCAGCCAGCGGGAGUGCGCGGCGCCCCUCCGCGGCCUUUGUGCUGCGCAACGUGGACGAGGUCCGCGCGCUCUUCGUGAUCGAAGUGCUGCCGGAGACCAAUCGUGGGGUCUCCUAUGUGCGCAACUACAUCCUACAGGUUCUCGUGCCAAGGCUGAUGGUGGCCUGCGGCGUAGAUCGGUCAGGGAACGUGGAGGAGCUGCGCCUGUGUGGCACAGGAGAGCACAACACGCUGACAUCGGCGGCGCUGCGGAUGGCCGCGCUGGAGCCAGACGUCUACAGUGCCCUUGAGUGGAAGUCAGAGACCGAGUCCUAUCUGGACGCACGGCGGGCGAGCACCACCACGAACGUGGUAACGACAAGCACUGGCAGCGCCGCGGGUACCAGAGAUGGCGUCGUGUCGGCGUCGGUGGGAGCGUUGAGCGCCCCAACCGGACAAAUUUUGGCGCCAGCGUUCUCGUCGUCGUCUGCGCCACGCUCGUCAAAGCCGUCCUCCGCUGCGGCCGCGACUCGCGGCACGCCUCGCCUUCUGCACGGCCUCUUCGGCUUCUACUGGGUCCUGGAUGACGACAUCUACGGCUUUUACCAGUCGCACGGCUCCAGCACCAAAAACGAGCGCAUUAGUACGCGGGCGAUGAUGAGAGAGGUGGACAUGCGGCUGCGGCAACUGCGGCACAACGCCGACGUGGCCUCGCCACCACCGCCGUCAGUUCCGCCUUCGUGCUUUCAGACACCGCCGACCCACAGCAGCGGCAGCGCUGCCGCAUCGCCAUAUGUCUUGUCACACCCGCAGCAACAGCAAAAUUUCGUGUUCACGUGCAAGGAGGAUGCCCUACAGAACAAUUUCAUCUCUGGAGGGAAAGGCCGGCUUCCGACCCUGCAGAACUACAACCUCUACUACACAACCGCCUGCUUCUCGCUCGAGUACAACCGCUUCGCCCUCGACACGGCUCCGGACACGCUGUCGGUCAACUCCUACAAUAACAUUGCCUGUCUCUUCAACUACGCGCUGCUGCACAACCCGCCGCAGAUGUGCUACUUCCCCCCUGGGGUGCCGCACGUGAGGCGCGCCGAGGACGCGCUGGUCGGCUACCUCGAUCACAGCAUGCUCUGGUACCGCUUCGCCGUGCGCGAAGAUUACGACUUCACUCUUCAGCUCAUCGCACGUGGCCUCCACACGCUGCGCUUCCGCAGCAUCGCCUUCGAUGUGCCUCAGAUGAUGAAGGUGCGUGGCGGCAUGACGGACUACUAUCGCAACUGCCACGAAGAGAUACGACAGCAGAACGAUCGCUUUGUGCUGCAGUGGCCGGCCGUGGCGCAGCACUGGGUGAAGGGGAAGGAGGGCAACCGUCGAGACGACAUACGUGUGCGGUGGGACCUGCUGAGCCCAGCCCGCGCCAAGCACCCCGGUGCCUUCCUGUAUCUGAGCACCCCACUGCCGCAGCUGCAGCCGCAACGCUUGAGUGACGACAGCACCGGCGGAAACGGCGGUGUAGUUAGCAGCAGCGACAGUGCAGCCACUGCAACCGCGGUGGAAGGCGCGGAAACAGAGACGCGAAAGCGUCUGCGGCCCCCGUCCCCGACUGCUCCCACUGCUGAAUCGUCACUUGCCCCUGCAGGCCGUCGCCCCUGCGUCCAGGCCGCAGCAACGUCUGCGCCCGCUAUGUCGUCCACCGCUGCCCGUGACUGGAAAGGUGGCUACGUGGUCGAGCGGUGGCGUGAUAUCUCACGUGAGGAGGCGCGGCAGCACGCCGGCCUCGUCGCCCUCUCCAACGAUGACAUCCACAUUGGCCGGACUGUCGCUGUCAUACCGCCCUUCUUCGACCAGAAACCAUCUGUCGUGCGCGCGACAGUGAUUGAGCGGGCCGUCGAGCCAACGGACUCCCAUUCCAGCAGCGGCCGCUCUGGGAACGCCAGCGCGGCGGAAGCAGGUGAUGCCCAGCAGUCCCUAACGCCGCGCGUGAUCUGGACAGCGGUGGCACAAGAUGUUCGUGGUAUGCCUUUCUUGCACGUUGACACAUGCUUUGAGGUGCCCGCGGAGGGCAUCGAAAAGGCCGCCGCCAGCAUCGAUCAGUUCUUCGCAAAGAUGGAGGGCGAGCCUGGCCCAUAGAAAAUUCAGCCCGCAUGGCAGGGGCAGUGGACGAAGAAAAACGUCUAUUGGCGGAAAGGACAGAAAGGCUCGUCCGACGACUGCAAACAUCCGACCCACCCACACACCCGCCCCUCUCUCCACCCCGUCGUAGAGAGCGUGCGAUGGGCCUUGAGUAUGAGUGGUGCCCAUAGAAUCACAGUGUUCUGUUUGCCUGCAUUUGAGGGUUGGAGACGAGAAAGAGCAAGGCGAAUCUAGCGAAGCGUUGCUGCUGCUUGGAGAGGCACACAUACACACGCACACGCACACGGGCAUCCUCUCUUUCCUUCUUCACAAAAACGAAUGCGCUGGUGAAGCAUUCUUCGUGCUCGUUUCCAAUCUUUACUCUUUCACUGGUGUAGCACAACACGCUCGGUGACAUGGUCACCGCAGUCCACAUCGCUUGAUCGGCAUCCAUCUCUUGCCGUGAUGAAAGACACAUGCGCUCUAUAUAUUGCACCUCGUAGGAACAACUUGACGGGGGUGCAGUGCCCCAGUGCAGCAUUCGGAUGACAGUGGUUUCACCGAGCCUGAGCUAAGUGGUAGUCCGGUA